AACGACUCUCGACAACGGAUAUCUCGGCUCUUGCAUCGAUGAAGAACGUAGCGAAAUGCGAUACUUGGUGUGAAUUGCAGAAUCCCGUGAACCAUCGAGUCUUUGAACGCAAGUUGCGCCCGAAGCCAUUAGGAUGAGGGCACGCCUGCUUGGGUGUCAUGC
rnacentral:rRNA from 1 species